UACGUAGGGUGCGAGCGUUGUCCGGAAUUAUUGGGCGUAAAGAGCUUGUAGGCGGUCUGUCGCGUCUGCUGUGAAAAUCCGGGGCUCAACCCCGGACUUGCAGUGGGUACGGGCAGACUAGAGUGUGGUAGGGGAGACUGGAAUUCCUGGUGUAGCGGUGAAAUGCGCAGAUAUCAGGAGGAACACCGAUGGCGAAGGCAGGUCUCUGGGCAUUACCUGACGCUGAGGAGCGAAAGUGUGGGGAGCGAACAGG
rnacentral:rRNA from 1 species